GUGCUCACUUCAGCAGCACAUAUACUAAAACUGAAACAAUACAGAUAAGAUUAACAUGGCCCCUGCACAAGGAUGACAUGAAAAUUUGUGAAGUGUUCCAUAUUUUU
rnacentral:snRNA from 1 species